ensembl:lncRNA
AUAGCCUAUAUAAAUGCAGAAAAUAUUGCAGCCAAAAUUGCCCCCAAAAUAUUCACAACAUUUACCAUUUAACCAUCCCUUUUCACAUUAAACUGGCCUCUACUCUUGACUCUCAUAGCCUUUAAUUUAGUGAAACGUUUUGGUCACCUUUUUCCUAUUUCUUUUUCACAGUGUCUACACGUCAGGUCAUGCAGAAAUCAAAUGCCGGGAGGAGGGAGAAGCCUGUCUGGGCAGGCUCUAUACACUGCGGUCCCGGUCCAACCAGCACCUGCCGACAAUCUCCUGAUUAGGAGCUAUUGAUGAUGGGAGAGUCGGACCACAGCGCAAAGCCUUCUCCAACACAUCCCAAAGAUUCUCA